CUGAUUCGUUAUUGAAAAUGACAAUGAAAUAUCCCAGUGCAGGAAUGCAGUUCAUAUUUCUUUUUUGUUUUCCAGUGUUUUCUAGCCAAGAAGUACAAAUCUGCCAGGGAUAGUUCGACACCAAGGAAUCUAUAGAUCAAAUUCCUACCAUCCAAAGUAGAAACAUUGCUUAUCACCUCCCACCAUAACUGCAUCAAUUUCUUUCUCCAAUGUGAAAUAACCAGACCUCUCACCAUAUUUCUGAAUGAGUGAGGGGGAAUUUUCCCCUAACCUGGCAUCAUAGGGAAAAUCCAGAGAAACAAAGAAUCGAGGAAACCAAAAGCUCAAAGCAAACUCACCAGAAUUAGCAAAAUCUGGAAACCCUAGCAAAGGGCACGGGGAUAGUUAUAUUCCUGGCAUGGAGACUGUAAUUGCUACAACUAGUGGCUACAAUGGAAGGGAAAAAACCGAGCUCAUUGAACUAAUUAUUGAAACUGGUGCAACAUAUACUGGUAGCCUCACAAAGAGUAACACACAUGUGGUUUGAUGGGAGUUUCAAGGAUAUAGAUUUGCGCUGGCAAAAAAUCUCAGGCUAACCAUAGUUAACCACAAGUGGUUUGAAGAAUGCUUGCAGGCAGGAAAGCACGUUACUGAGAGUCCUUACAUUACGUGCUGGUAAAACUGAGUCUUAAAUGGCAGUUUGAAAUGCAUUUUAUCUCAGAGUGAAGGCCUCCUCAGUCCACAUUCUAUAAACAAAUCAAAUUCUGGAUAUGUCCUGUUUUCACAUCAAUUGAUCCAUUGUUGGGAGAAAGUGCAUCAAUUGAUGCAAUCCAAAAUGUUAGCUUAUCUGAUUUGUAAUACUAAGAUCAUAUCCAGAAUUGAAUUUGUACUUUUCUCAUUUGUGUGCUAUGAAA